AUACGGAGGAUCCGAGCGUUAUCCGGAUUUAUUGGGUUUAAAGGGAGCGUAGGUGGGAUAUUAAGUCAGCUGUGAAAGUUUGGGGCUCAACCUUAAAAUUGCAGUUGAUACUGGUUUCCUUGAGUACGGUACAGGUGGGCUGAAUUCGUGGUGUAGCGGUGAAAUGCUUAGAUAUCACGAAGAACUACGAUCGCGAAGGCAGAUCCCCGGGACGGAACUUUCUCUGAUGCUCGAAAGUGCUGGUAUCAAACAGGAUUAGAGUCCCUUGUAGGCCGCACAGUAAACGAUGAAUACUCGCUGUUUGCGAUACACUGUAAUCGGCCAAGCGAAAGCGUUAAGUAUUCCCCCUGGGGAGUACGCCGGCAACGGUGAAACUCAAAUGAAUUGACGGGG
rnacentral:rRNA from 1 species